rnacentral:tRNA from 25 species
GCGGGCGUGGUGAAAUUGGUAGACGCGCCGGACUCAAAAUCCGGUUCCGCAAGGAGUGUCGGUUCGAGUCCGACCGCCCGCACCA